rnacentral:rRNA from 1 species
GGGGUAAAGGCUCACCAAGGCAACGAUCAGUAACGGGUCUUGAAAAGGAAUGAUCCGCCACACUGGGACUGAGACACGGCCCAGACUCCUACGGGAGGCAGCAGUGGGGAAUUUUGGACAAUGGGCGCAAGCCUGAUCCAGCCAUGCCGCGUGUCUGAAGAAGGCCUUCGGGUUGUAAAGGACUUUUGUCCGGGAGCAAAUCCCCAGUGGUUUAAUACCCUACUGGGGCUGAGAGUACCCGGGAAGAAUAAGCACCGGCUAACUACGUGCCAGCAGCCGCGGUAAUACGUAGGGUGCAAGCGUUAAUCGGAAUUACUGGGCGUAAAAGCGUGCGCAGGCGGUUGUGCAAGUCUGAUGUGAAAGCCCCGGGCUUAACCUGGGAACGGCAUUGGAGACUGCACGACUAGAGUGCGUCAGAGGGGGGUAGAAUUCCGCGUGUAGCAGUGAAAUGCGUAGAGAUGCGGAGGAAUACCGAUGGCGAAGGCAGCCCCCUGGGAUGACACUGACGCUCAUGCACGAAAGCGUGGGGAGCAAACAGGAUUAG